rnacentral:lncRNA from 1 species
GAUAUGCAUUUCUCUAGGGAGAAGACUAAAUUCAGAGACAUUAGAGAAGACAUAAAUAAAUGGAGAAAUACACCAUGUUCAGAUUCAUUGUCUCCUCAUGCCAGUACAUACAAUAACCUAACUUAUGUGGAAACCAAGUCCUGGUGCCUCAGAAAGCUUCCUGCCUCCAGCUCCUCCAUGAGAGGGUCAGUUAGCUAUAAACACAUAUGUAUACAGAAAUAGCUCCUAAUGGUCUCAGCACAGUUGUUUCCACUCCUGGACCCACACUCAGGGGUGUGCCUUUCUCUCAAGUUUUGGAGGAUUAAAUAAAUCAGACAUGGAAAGGUCUUGGCCCAGGGCCUACUGCCUAAUAUGCGCUUCAUAAAUGUUAGCUAUUACUAACAACUAUUGAUUAGCUGUUGGUAACAACUAUACCAGUAGAAGAUAAUCCUGCAUUUUGUAUAACCAGAGUGUUCCCCAGAUGAGGGCAGGGGAGGCACAACACCAGACUCACUGCGGCCUCCUUUGACUAAGUCUUUUGUGUGAUUCUUGAGGUAAUAUCCUGCCCCUGGAGAACUGAUGCAGAGAAAGAUGCCCAGGAGCUGUUUUUUGUUUUGUUUUGUUUUGUUUUUAGAGUGUGAUUCAUAAGAGGAGCCACAUUGUUUAAAACAUCUCCUUUGCUCAUUUGUUCAUUCUGUUCUUUAAAUUCAGAAUGUCCUUACUGGAGAGUCAGCCAUGCAUCAAGAUCUGUGUUAAUCACCGAGAAUGGAGAGAAAUGCACCAUGAGAGCAUUGCAAAAGGAACUCUGAUAAUUAUCUUCGGCUUCACAGCUCUAGGGGUCCAGGACUGUUCAUUUGGAGGAAGAGGGAACAGGAUCUCAGUUAAGAUGGAAAAAGUAUGAGCUUUGGCAUUAAUGGGAUCAGGAUUUCAACUUACUUCCUUUGUGAACUUGAAUAAAGCCUUCACUUCUCUAAACCUU